rnacentral:rRNA from 1 species
UACGAAGGGGGCUAGCGUUGUUCGGAAUUACUGGGCGUAAAGGGCGCGUAGGCGGUCUUGUAAGUCAGAUGUGAAAGCCCCGGGCUCAACCCGGGAAUAGCAUUUGAUACUGCGAGGCUUGAGUCCGGGAGAGGAUGGCGGAAUUCCCAGUGUAGAGGUGAAAUUCGUAGAUAUUGGGAAGAACACCGGUGGCGAAGGUGGCCAUCUGGACCGGUACUGACGCUGAGGCGCGAAAGCGUGGGGAGCAAACAGG